AUGAACGCUAGCUACAGGCUUAACACAUGGCAAGUCGAGGGGCAGCAUGUGGAUGCUUGCAUUCACCGAUGGCGACCGGCGUAUGGGUGAGUAACGCGUAUCCAACCUGGCGUGCACACCGGCACAGCCCCUGGAAACGGGGAUUAAUUCCGGAUGGCGUGGAUUAGGCGCAUGCCUUUUCCACUAAAGGUAUUCCGGUGCACGAUGGGGAUGCGUUCCAUUAGGCAGUUGGCGGGGUAACGGCCACCAAGCCUUCGAUGGAUAGGGGUUCUGAGAGGAAGGUCCCCCACACUGGAACUGAGACACGGUCCAGACUCCUACGGGAGGCAGCAGUGAGGAAUAUUGGUCAAUGGGGCGUAAGCCUGAACCAGCCAAGUAGCGUGAAGGAUGACUGCCCUACGGGUUGUAAACUUCUUUUGUAUGGGAAUAAAGUUCAGUACGUGUACUGUUUUGUAUGUACCAUACGAAUAAGCAUCGGCUAAUUCCGUG
rnacentral:rRNA from 1 species